rnacentral:rRNA from 1 species
UACAGAGGGGGCAAGCGUUGUUCGGAAUUACUGGGCGUAAAGGGCGCGUAGGCGGCCUGCUAAGUCGAACGUGAAAUCCCCGGGCUCAACCCCGGAACUGCAUCCGAUACUGCGUGGCUAGAGGUAGGUAGGGGAGAUCGGAAUUCCUGGUGUAGCGGUGAAAUGCGCAGAUAUCAGGAGGAACACCGAUGGCGAAGGCAGGUCUCUGGGCAUUAACUGACGCUGAGGAGCGAAAGCAUGGGGAGCGAACAGG